UAGUUUUUGUUACUCAAGUGCGGAAUGAUAUCCUGCUGAAAUUCACAUCAGGAAUGAUUACUAUAUAGUCUUUGAACAAGUUGCUCCAUCUUUACGUGUAACUUAUGGAUAAUUUUCAUAGUUGAAGUUUAAGCUAACAUUCUGCGAGAUAUUGAUGCUCAAAGGUUGGGCAUAUAUUUCAUAAAACUAAAACAGCUUGAAUGAAUCACUUUAAUCUUGGUUUGCAUGUUUGCUAUCACAAACUUGAAAUUCAUCAAAUGCACAAUAACUUCUUUUCUUUGACAAUUUAAACUGCACCAUUAAUAAAGUAAUAAUCUCACGAUAAUUCUUUUACCAAGAUAAAUCAUGUGCAUUGGGAAAAGGCCAUCACCCGGACAAUUGAUAACAUAAAGGCUUGUUAAAUUUUCCUUUAUACACUUAACAAUUAAGGGUUUUUUAGGUAUGCCAUCACAAAUAUCUACAUUUGUCAUGAUUAAGGAUGUGCCAGUUAACAAGAAACCGAAAUAAACAACUCAUUGCCCCCGUGAAUUUAUGCAAAAGAUAAACCGAUUAAGGAAGUUGUUAGCUUGAAAGGUGUCGUUCAGAAUUAGGUAUCACGGACCCUUAUGGUCUCCGAUAAGAAUAAGAUUUUUUUUACCUAGAUAGUAUAAGACAUUUUUAGUUUCGGAAGGAAGGUAAUACGAGUUCCGUGAUGGAAGGGGGGCGGAGGGGGGAUGAUGACAUCUUGUCUAAAUGUUAGACGUUACAUGCUCAAAAUAGUGAAAUACACUGCAAAUUCAUCAUUGUAUAUGCAAAAGUACAAAUACAAUAUUUACACAUGGAUAAAUGAAAAAGAGCUGUCGAUUUAUAAGGGGCAUAAAUUAUUAAACAGGAAAACUCUGAUAAAUUGUUUCAAUAUUGAAUAUGCGUUAGCCGAUUUAAAACAAUACAAAAUAUUACAUUUAGCUGCUAGGUGCAAGCUAUCAAUUUAACUUAAAAAUUUAUAAUACAGAUUUCUGUACAAGUUUGAUUACAUUUAAACCAUUAUUUUAUUAGUUUCCAAAGACAACGAAGAGGUGUUAUUGCAUAAUCAAAUGUCAUCCGUUCAAAUUUCAUACACAUAUAUCACUAAUACAAAAUGUUUAGGUAGUAUUAAUAGUACUGAUCGUUUAUAUUUUUGAUUUUCCUCCAGUGCAAAACUUCAGUCCAACAGAAUUUUCUUUGUCAAAAAAUAGAAGUAUAUAAGAGUGUAUGAGUUUUAAGGCAAUAAAUAUCAAGUAAUGAAAAUAAAUCUAAUCUAAUAAUAUAUCAAUUUUGUAUCAACUAUUUAAAUAGCAGUUCAGCUUUUUUUGCAACUUUGCAACAACAAAUAGUCCAGAGUGUUGGUGGAAUGGGGGUAACUAGUUUUUGAAAAGAGAUUACAUCUGAUAAAAUAUACUUUAUUGACUUUAUUAUACAAAUAGAGCAAAAUGACUUCACCUUUAUAUUCAUGGCUAUUUUUUUCAUGAACUGUGAAUGAAAUAUAUUGACUUGCUACUGGUCAGUGGUGGUACUAGCCAAUACCUAAUCCGCCUCACUUCAUUAUGCAUACCUUUUCGCAUGGCUUUGAGCUUGUUUUUUCUAAUCCAUUAUAAUCUGUACACUUCCAUUUAGGAUUUGAAAACUGUAUUGAUAUGUAACAGUACAGGUCUUUCACUUGAUUCAUAUGGGAAUAAAACUCGAUUGCUAUAUAACAGUUCAGUGUUUUUUUGCACCUGCUAUAUAUCGAUUGAGUAUUUUACGUAGGUUCAAAGGGGAUCAAAGGGGCCAUGGGGUUUCACAUUCAUAAUAGAAAAAAGCCGAUUAAACCUCGUGAUGCUACCCAAACAGGUUUUGGGCAUGUCCCGGACAAAGUUCACAGUGUAGAAAUGAACAAAAAGAAAUAACUCAAAAAUUCGGCAAGGCAGAGUUACGUUUCUUUUGCAAAGCACAUCUACUCAAUGAGAUCUAUCUUUCUACAAAGCUUCUUGUUGAUACCUCUUGUGAUUUCAGAGGAAUGUCCCGGACGAAGUUAAAAAAUGAACAAAAGGCAAUUACUCCAAAAUUGGGCUAGGCAAAGUUACAGAUAUUUUUCAUUGAACAUUUACCCAAUGAGAUAUAUCUACCUACACAGUUUAUUGUUGAUAUCUCUUAUAGGUAAGAGUUAUGUCCCGGAUAAAGAUAACAGUGUAAAAAUGAACAAAGGGCAAUAACUCCAAAAUAAGGCAAGGCAGAGUUAUGGUUCUUAUGCAAUGCACUUCUACUCAAUGAGAUCUAUCUACCUACCUGAUCUUAUGUUACAAAAAUAAUGAAAUUGCGGUAGAACAUUUACAAUGUAUGAAACUCGUAAGUGACGGUGGUAAAACAGUGGCUGGGGCGACAACUCGGGAUGUUUCUGCAAACUAUCACCUCGGCCUAAUGGCUUCGACAUUAUUUUGCAGAUACAUCCCUAGAUGUCGGCGUAGCCACUGAUAUACACCCGUUACUUACUCGUUUCAUAUUCUAUAACUAUUACUUCAUUGUUAUUUUUCUGUAGUAUUAUUAGUGAACAAAAUGUAGCGUUGACAUUUCUAUAUGUAUGUUUUUCAAUACAUUACAUAUAAAACUAACAUGAUAUACCAAACAUUGCACUGUAAUUUUCACUUCUUAACUUUGUUUUCUUUACUCUCCGGGGUUUUUACCUUUUCCAUUUUUUUACAACUUAAAUUAUAAAUUUGAUGACAACGUGUUUGUAAGUGAGAAUCUAAUUUACAACGCCCUUUUCUCUGGGUCGGAUGUUUAUGUCAAGGACAUCAUCGCUUGUUUUAAAUGACUUUGAUUAUGAUUGAUUUAAUUCACACAGUGCGCGACGCUAUAUUAAGAUUAAAUGAGUUUAGAUGAAUAUCAAACUACGAUCUUCUAAAUGUUUACAUACAGGUUUAACAGUUACGUAACAGGAUACAACAAUAUUUACUUCGUUUAUCUUGUGGUAUUUUUUUAAAUUAGCUCAAUGAAAAUAACACUUGGAGAUUGCUUUCAAGUUUGAAAUGUUGUUCGGGAAUAAAUCUCGUCUGUUACCAAAUUAAAACAAUAACUUGAGAGCGAAAUAUCGAAUUGUUAGGUUUGAGUUUUGAUGUUAUCGCUACUGAUGGAAAGAUAAAACUGAGGAAGAAAUCGAUCAUAUGUAAGAUUCUAAGACAUGUUUGAUGGGAUAAAAAUGAUUUUUGUUUCAUUAUACAGUUUGUGGAUAAUAUUAUCUAUAAAGACAUUUGAAACAACUGCUAUGAAAGUAUAUCUUAACACAAAAGAUACAUCUAUAAGUGUUUUUGAUAAUUUUACUACUAGAAAAGCGAAUAUGUAUGUUCAAAGAAAAUAUAAAAUUUACAGACGAAAAAUAGAAAUAAACUCAACUAGUGAUGAUGAAACAAACUACAGAGGUAGAUAUUGGGAAAGAGAAACACGUCUACAGAAUCGGAAGUUCCAAACUCGAAUCGUACCAGUGGAAAUCAUCCCAGUGACUGAUAUAGGUCUAGAUAUAAAAAGUAGCCGUAGAAAAAGAGAUUCGAACAUUAGAUGUCAUGGACUUUGUGACAGAUCCUUAUGUCAAUGGACUGAUAGUUGGGAUUUUGAUAAAUACAGAAACCCAGCAUUUAUUCCAAAGGCUUAAUGUAGCAGCCAAUACAGGUUGAACUCAGGAAAUAUAGUGAUUCCAAAUAUUCUAAAUAUGUAUACAGCAUGUGAGCCAAUAAGAAGAGAUAUACCGAUAUUCAAAAAUAAUGAAAAUGCAUACAUCAAAGACUGGCCGGUUGCGUGUGCAUGUACCAUUAAACAUAAAGCAACACUUCAAAAUAAACAUAGAAAAUUUCGGCACAAAACUAAACAUGAAAAGUUAAGGAAAAGAGGGCAACGAAGACGGAUCAAAGUUUAAACUAAAUACGAAUUCAAUAUACAUGCAUCCAAAUAUUUUGAAGUCAGAGAGAAGCUACUAAAACCAUUUCUUUUUCUUCCGCAGUUUAGGAAGUAAUUCUUGGAAUGGCGUAAAAAAUGAACUAUUACUAUAUUGUUUUAAAAUGCAACUUAUCUUUAUAUUGAAUGUCAAUGUCUCACUUUUUUAACU